UACGUAGGGGGCAAGCGUUGUCCGGAAUUAUUGGGCGUAAAGGGUGCGUAGGUGGCGAGGUUAGUCAGGUGUGAAAUCUCGGGGCUCAACCCCGAAACUGCACUUGAUACUGCCUUGCUAGAGUACUGGAGAGGAGAUUGGAAUUUACGGUGUAGCAGUGAAAUGCGUAGAUAUCGUAAGGAAGACCAGUGGCGAAGGCGAAUCUCUGGACAGUUACUGACACUGAGGCACGAAGGCCAGGGGAGCAAACGGG
rnacentral:rRNA from 1 species